rnacentral:tRNA from 3 species
GGAGGGUUGGCCGAGCGGCCGAAGGCACCGCACUGAUACUGCGGCGGAGGUGCAAAUCUCUCAGGGGUUCGAAUCCCCUACCCUGGG